rnacentral:lncRNA from 1 species
CUUUUACUGAUAUUAACAAUUAAUUUCAGUUAGCACAUUCUUAAUAUUGUUUGGUAUGUGUGACAUGCCUUCUCCAUUUUCGUAGGGAGAUCAAGGUCAGAGAGGAAUACGUGGAUUAACAGGACCAACAGGAGUGCCUGGACCCGCUGGAGCUAAAGGAGAGCCUGGUGUGCCAGGACGCCUUGGAAUGCCAGGCCCUCCUGGAAGAGCUGUGCCUGGACCAAAGGGUGACAUUGGGUUACCUGGUCUUGCUGGACCAAUUGGAGAACCAGGUUUUGGGCUUCCUGGGGCAAAGGUAGCUCCUAAAUUGGUAAACUAAUUUUCUGGUAGAAUCGUAAAAUAAGGCAGGAUGUCGGUGAAGCAACAGCAAAUUGC